GACGAACGCUGGCGGCGUGCCUAACACAUGCAAGUCGAGCGGGGUUGAAGCGAGGGGUAACUCGAGUUUCUACCUAGCGGCGGACGGGUGAGUAACGCGUGGGCAACCUGCCUCAAGGACUGGGAUAACAGCUCGAAAGGGCUGCUAAUACCGGAUAUGCCUGUGGCCUCGCAUGGGGCUAUGAGCAAAGGGGAAACCCGCCUUGAGAUGGGCCCGCGUCCCAUCAGCUAGUUGGUGAGGUGAAGGCUCACCAAGGCGACGACGGGUAGCCGGCCUGAGAGGGUGACCGGCCACACUGGGACUGAGACACGGCCCAGACUCCUACGGGGGGCAGCAGUGGGGAAUCUUGCACAAUGGGCGAAAGCCUGAUGCAGCGACGCCGCGUGAGCGAAGAAGGCCUCGGUGUAAGACUCUGUCUGAGGGACGGAAGGAAGGUAGACGGUACCGUCCGGACGGAAGCCGACGGCGUAACUACGUAGUCCACGCACGCCGCGGUAACGACGACGAGUA
rnacentral:rRNA from 1 species